UACGUAGGGUGCAAGCGUUGUCCGGAAUUAUUGGGCGUAAAGAGCUCGUAGGCGGUUUGUCGCGUCGAAUGUGAAAACCCGGGGCUCAACUCCGGGCCUGCUUUCGAUACGGGCAGACUGGAGGUAUGCAGGGGAGAACGGAAUUCCUGGUGUAGCGGUGAAAUGCGCAGAUAUCAGGAGGAACACCGGUGGCGAAGGCGGUUCUCUGGGCAUGUCCUGACGCUGAGGAGCGAAAGUGUGGGGAGCGAACAGG
rnacentral:rRNA from 1 species